rnacentral:rRNA from 1 species
GAUGAACGCUGGCGGCGCGCCUAACACAUGCAAGUCGAACGGUUAAAGCACCUUUUAGGUGUGUAUAAAGUGGCGAACGGCUGAGUAACACGUGGGCAACCUGCCCUCCUCUUGGGGAUAGCCUCGGGAAACCGAGGAUAAUACCCGAUACUUCAAUGUGGCCGCAUGACGACAUUGAGAAAGCUUUUGCGGAGAAGGAUGGGCCCGCAGCCUGUUAGCUUGUUGGUGGGGUAGAGGCCUACCAAGGCAAUGAUGGGUAGCUGGGUUGAGAGACCGACCAGCCAGAUUGGGACUGAGACACGGCCCAGACUCCUACGGGAGGCAGCAGUGGGGAAUCUUGCACAAUGGGCGAAAGCCUGAUGCAGCGACGCCGCGUGCGGGACGAAGGCCUUCGGGUUGUAAACCGCUUUCAGCAGGGACGAGGCGAUAAGUGACGGUACCUGCAGAAGAAGCCCCGGCUAACUACGUG